rnacentral:misc_RNA from 1 species
UCUGGUAGACAAAACAGAGAACCUGCAGUUUCAGUUUCCAGAGUCAGUGAAGACAACUGUGACGGAAAAUGUGGCUGCAGAAUCUCCAAUUGAAGCUGAUGGUAGGAGAAGCAAUUCUUGCCCUGAUUGUUAUACUCUGGCCUCUUUCAAUUGUUAGUUGGGGCAGGUCCAGAUGGAGAAAGAAUGCUGUAGUAUUUACAAAUUGAAGGGACUGGUGGUGGAGUGAGGUCAAACUAUUAUCUGUUCAAUGCUGUAAUUACACCUUUGUACUUGCCUGAUGGUUUUUAUUGAUAUCAUUUGUUAAUGUAGAGAAUGUGGCCUAACAACCCGUUGAUAUUUGUGUGGAAAAAUGCUUUAAAAAACCG